rnacentral:lncRNA from 13 species
UUUUCAUCCCUUGAAAUGUGAAAAGUAGUUUUAAUAGUGUCAUUUGCCAUUUUUGCUAUCUCUUUUUCAGAUCCAUUUUUUUUCCUGAGCGUGACUGAAACCACGACAAGAUCCGCAGUUCCCAGGGUGAGCCUGACUUCAGAGCUCAGUGAUCUGAAGAAUGGAGAUCGUUCAGAAAAAGAACUCAUUAGCAUGACUCAAGAGUCUUGGAAGCAUGUAUCCCUCAGCCUGUUUCCUUCCAUCAAUACCACUUUGAAUCUGCCCCAGAUGCCCUUGAUGAAAGAUGAGAGACAAAAAAGAGCAUGGAGACACCAUCCUCAUCAGGUUGUGGCCAGUUAUUUUUGCUUCCUGAUGUGGUCAGAGGUGGCGUUAGACAUUAGAGGAGCUUCUGCCUCCACAUGGCCUCUGUAGAAUGCUGUCAUUGUGUUGAACCAACUGAUAUUUCAUGGUGAGGAAGCCAAUCCUUCUUUGUUCCUCCCUAGAUUUCUCCUUAGAGGUACCACACAAAAAUCUGGCUUAGGCAUGAUGGAACCUCAACAUCCAGCUCACUGAUGGGUCGAAGCAUAACUAUACUUUCCAAGCGUUUACUUUUCUUUUCUUAUUUCCCUAAAACUAAAGGAUAAAAAUAUAAGAAUAAAUUAGAUUUUGGUUGGCA